UAUAUAUAUAUAUAUAAUAUAUAAACGUGCAUGCAUAUGUAUGUGUUUGUCUAUGGGACGGUAGUUGGGUGGUUGGGUGGGUCUGAGUAUCAAAUGUUCUCCACGAAGGCACUCGAAAGUUUCUCAAACGAUCACGUCCUACCAACUUACGCGUUUCCUAUGCUCGUGUUUACAGAAAGGGGUUGGAUCGUUCGAUAUUAAAGUGCUUAGCUAAGUCAUUUGGUUAAGUAUAGAAGCAAAUGGGCGAAGGGUGAGACGUGGGAGGACACUAAAUGAGAAGAGACGAGAAUCGUUACAACGAUAGUGACGUUCAAAGAGCGUUACUUCAAAUAGUUUUUUAAGAAGAGAUAUUUCUGAAGCAGCGACGUAAAGAAGAUCAUUUCAUUUUCGUUUUUUCUCUUUUCCUUUUUUCCUUCUUCUUUUUUCUUUUUUUUUUUUUUUCCCCCUCUACUUUUGGCCAUUUUUUUUUUUAUUCUUCGACAUAAAAAUAAACCGACGUACGACUUUCUUCCUCGCAUUUU